rnacentral:lncRNA from 1 species
AAGACCUUUGGAAGAAGGGUUAUAAUGUAGGGCAAGAUCUGUAGCAUAGAAGGAAAGAGAGACAAGACGGCUUGGACUACGUCCUUUCUCUUGUGUAAACUCUGGGAAGCCAAAGACAGAGAUUAAAUACUCAUUAGCAAUAGUCACUUAACGGAUGGAAUGAGUGUGUGCCUGGCAAGACAGGUUUGCUUCAGAUUCUAGAGAGUGGACAGUGGAAAGAAGUGUUUGAGAAACGUUUUGGGGGAUAGUGAGUAAUAGCAGAACGAGAACAAAACCUUUGACUUGGGCUUUGAUAAGGGAUUCGCAUGCAUUUUGUAGGAAAGGACUGAGCUCAAGGUCAACUCUCCUAUCCUUUCACCUCUGAGGAUGGCUGCUGUGCCCAAGGGAGCAUGAUGAUGGUUCUGGGGAGCACCGGAGCUGGGGUGCUCUCUGUGUGGAGUGAGCCCCACCCCAUGUGCUGAAGUGCUUGCUUCUCAGCUGGUGGAGCAGAUGUCGAGUAAAUUUAAAGCUAUUUGUUGAUUGACCCAGGAAUUGAAAUGUUUGCCCCUUCCUUACACUGUUUAACAAAAAAAUUGUGUUUUCACAGAGUAUGAUUGAGGAUCUCCUCUAGUGUGGACAAGCCAUGUGACUUUGCAUGAACUAUUUAAACUCUCAGAGAACUUGAACUGAACAAAUCUCUGUCAGGGAUUUUCUUGCAACCAAUUCAGGUAGAAGACACACCUCCAUUCCUGGCUCACUAUGCAGAAGUCAUAGAUGUCGUAACUCCUGUGGUAGUUACCCCUGAAUCUAAUGUCAUCCAAAUUGUCCUCCUUCCUAAAUUUAUGUAUUAUUGAUAACUUAUAAAAUUGGCUAUUAGAUAAU